AACGAACGCUGGCGGCAUGCCUAACACAUGCAAGUCGAACGAGACCUUCGGGUCUAGUGGCGCACGGGUGCGUAACGCGUGGGAACCUGCCCUUAGGUUCGGAAUAACUCCCCGAAAGGGGUGCUAAUACCGGAUAAUGUCUUCGGACCAAAGAUUUAUCACCUUUGGAUGGGCCCGCGUUGGAUUAGCUAGUUGGUAGGGUAAAAGCCUACCAAGGCGACGAUCCAUAGCUGGUCUGAGAGGAUGAUCAGCCACACUGGGACUGAGACACGGCCCAGACUCCUACGGGAGGCAGCAGUGGGGAAUAUUGGACAAUGGGCGAAAGCCUGAUCCAACAAUGCCGCGUGAGUGAUGAAGGCCUUAGGGUUGUAAAGCUCUUUUACCCGGGAUGAUAAUGACAGUACCGGGAGAAUAAGCUCCGGCUAACUCCGUG
rnacentral:rRNA from 1 species